UCCACUACAUAAUCAUUCAUUAUCUUUACAAUUAACCAUCUAAAGCUACCACAGUUCUUCAAUCAAAGUAUAUAUCUACAUAUAUAGAGAGAGUACAGUUCAUAAUUUCAUCACUUGUCUUCCGUAAACGUAGCACGAAAAUUUGAUACCCAGUAUUGUAAGGCAGGUCGUAGAAGCAGUCUUCCUGCACAUAUUUAAAAAUAAUAGCAAAGUCAAGAAAACGUGCUAAAUUUACCCAAACUGCAUUAUUCAAUAAAUUAUUACAAAUGGAAGAUGAAAAGAUCAAAUUAUUUUGAUCACUAAAAGAAAAUAUAUAUACAGAGCAUAAAACGAAGGUCAUCAUUAGAGCAUAUUUAAUAAAGCUUUACCCUAGUCUAGAUGGUGCUUCGACAUAUAGGACAGAGAUGAAUGUCAUGUCCACAUUCACAACAUGUCUGCAAAUAAGAAUGAAAAAGAAAACUUGAAGAUACACUCUAGUCAUGUUCUCUAAAAAUGAAAACCAAAAACUUUUUGACAGUGAUACAGCGAAGUGGUACAAUUUGACACUGAGCAAUUGGUAAUUUUUUUUAUAGAGCAUAUUGGAGUUCUAAUAGUUCUACAGCUGGUGUUUUUAUAUUGUGAAGUUGUUUACAUUUCCUAGCACGUGAACCUUGGCAAUUUAGAGCUUAUUUCCUGCUUUAUUGAUACAGAAAGUAUAUACCACAAAGAAUCUUUUUUUACCAAUUUCUGAAUCCAGAAAGAUAAAAUUAGCUACAGACUGACGUGUAGGAUAUAUGUAGCCUAUAAGAAAUGGC
rnacentral:lncRNA from 1 species